rnacentral:lncRNA from 1 species
AUUUUUGAAGUCAAUGAAACCAAGAACCCACCAAUUCUGGACACACCAGGACAUUCUCUAUUUUUAUUUGCUGAAACUGGCAACACUAAGUGCGGGGCACCAGACACUGCUGUGGCUCAGGCAUCUCGCUAUGGAUAAGUGGUUCAUCUUUCAGCCUGGGGAAGCAGCCAGAUCUGGAACACCUCCAGCAAUUGCCAUAUCCUUCAGCUUCAGAAGGCCGCCAGCAGGGGUCAGUUGUUGGCUGUUUGAGAGGCUUCCAGCUUUUUGGCUAUUAUAAAUAAUGCUGCCACGAUCAUUCACAUCUUUGGUGGACAUCAGUUUUCAUUCCUCUCAAGUAAAUGCCUAGGAUGGAAUUGCUACGUUGUGUGAUCAUGGGCUUCCAAUGCAUUGCUUGAUUUUCUGUGGGAGGAAAGUGCUUUUGAAGUUCCAAAUCCAAUCCCUGAAGCAAGAUUAAUAAUCAAAGAUCCUCUCCAGUGUGCAAAUCCUCAUGGGAUUUAGGUGGAUUGCUACAGCCUAGUCCCGAGGCAUGUGGCACACCUGUACGUUGCCACAAAUAGUUCAGAAAUAACACCAGUUCAUGUCUACAACAAGGCCUUUGAACUUGAGUAUUCUCUUUCUGGUAUUCAAUGCUGGAGCUGCAGUGAGAGCGUGCAGUUCCCUAAAUUUUGCCCCCGAGGAACCUUACUUGUCUCACCAUAAUCUCAGUUCAUUUGAACACUUCUCCAGAUACUCUGUAGGAAUACAACGGAGUUAGCUUGUUUCAAGGGAGAGUUUUUUUAUUGGGAAGAUGACCUAACUGGCUAAGUCCAAGUUUGUGGAAACAACAUAUCUGAGGAAUCCGAAUCAGAUCAAUGAAAUAGAGUUUCUAGCAGCUGCACUGUGAAUAACGUCCUGAAAGAUGCUGCUGCUGGAACUCGAUUCCACAGCUAUGGGUGUUUGUUGGAAGGCACCCAAAAGGGAUUCCAAGGGCCCUGCCUCUACUGACUGCCGUUUAUUCUUAAAGCACUAGGCUCAACAGUUGAGCUUUGUGUGGUAUUGAGUGGGUUUUAUGAUUACUUGUUUGCCAUUGUUAGUGUCAGCCUGUCAACACCUUGAAGGGCAGAGCAUUUUUGUUUGUUUUGAAAAUUACUCAAUAGCAAAUCCUUAAUUAUACAGCAGUAUGGCUUUUUGAAAGGUUGAGUGAUGUACUGCUGUUGUUUUAGAUUUCUUUCAUGCUAAAUCUUAUGAGGUGCAUAGCCUUCAAUAACUAAAUGCAAAUAAUGCAAUCGAAUCCCACUUGAGCCUGCCAUUAAUUAUCUCACAUUUAUCUUCAUUUCCAGGCUGGUGAUAUGGGCCAGCAUUCAAGACAACUAGAAAAAAUAUCCAGUAAAGGUUUUGAAGUUCCUUUAUGUGCAGGGAUUUAUGAUACACAGACACGUGUGAACCAUACACACAUACAUGCAUGUAUACACACAUACAUGCAUGUAUGCACA